rnacentral:lncRNA from 1 species
CCACUUUAGACAGUUACGUUUGUGAGGGUCUUGGCCCAGGAACGCCUGCUGCUCUGAGAGCGUACUGCCUUCUAGAAGUCUGGGGAAUUUCUUCCGUCACCAGACCGACAGGACCUCCGCAGGGAGAUUACUGUCCAGUGAGCGCCAGAGAAAGCCUGCUGACACUAGGGCUUUGGGUGGAGGAGGUAGGGUUCCUGGGAAUUGAAUCCAGGGCCUUCUCUCUGAGCUACGUCCCCACCUCCCCAUUCCCACUUUUUUUAUUUUUUAGACAGAAUCUUGUUAAAUUGCCAAAUUGCCCCAGCUGAAUUCGAACUUCGAUUCUCCCUACCUCACGCUCGGCUGUUUGGUAUGAUUUUUACUUAGUUUAUCAGUAUUUUUUUUCCUAUUUGAAGAGAGUAAUAUCUAGUCUGAUACUACCUAUUAUUGGUAUUGGAACUAGUGGGUUUAAAGGGGUUUUUUAAUUUUGUUUUGUUUUUACCGUGUGUGUGAUACUGAAGCUUGAACUCAGAGCCUCCCAUAUGCUAGGCAAGGGCUGUAACACUACGCUACAUCCAGCCCAUUUUGUUUUCUAGACAGGGUCUUGUUAAGUUACCUAGACUGGCCUUGAAUUUGCAAUCCUCCUACCUGAGCCUCCCAGUGACUGGGAUUACAGCAUGCCAUCCAGCGCCGAGUUUAUAACUGUCCACAACAGUGCUGCCCUGUAAAACUUCUUGCUGUGAUGGAAGUAUUCUACAUGUCUGCCUUAACAGGGUAGCCACUGGCCAUUGGGGGCUCUUGAGCCCUUGAAAUAUGGCUAUUGCUACUGUCUGAAUUUUCAAUUUAAUUUCAAUGUGAAUAGUCACUUUCAGCUGGUGACAACUGCACUGGACACAGGACUGGGAGGAGACCAUUAAGUUUGCUUGGAACCGAGUGAUGCACCAGGUUUAGUGCUAAAACCCUGGAAAUCCUAGGCAAAACGCUGAACUUCAGAAUCCCAUCCAGUUUCUGACAUGCCUGGGGCAAUUUCGAGGGAUACUCUACACUCAGGAGGCUAAGGCAGGAGAAUCACCUCGAGCUCGAGGCCAGCCUGCACUACAUAGCAAAACCCUGUCUCAAGAAAAGAGGAAAAAAGAGGACCUCAUGCAUUGUUAGAAGAGCAGCCACAGAGACACCAUUAUUUCAACUCACCCAGGUAGCAUCACUGAAAAAUGAAUAAGGAGUUUCAUGAAACAACCGUGGUUCUGCAGAAUAAAAAAGUAAAGCACAAGAAAGAAGCUCAUUUUCUUCCUGGUCCUAGGAUUGUCAGACAGCAUGUCUCCGGGCACAUACCCAUUCAGGCGCUGGUCUCAGGGGUCGGCUUUGUUUCUUUUUUCCGAAGCUGAUGAGGCUCCCAUACUGCGAGAGAUUUUAUUUCACAAACAGCCUUUUACUGGGAGGUGUCAAAGAUGGGUCCUGGUCAGCGCACAGGGUCAGAGACUUGCACAUGGGGGCCGCCAACGGGGAGGCUGGGCCCUGUGCGGCACCACAAAUGCCCAAGUUCUCCG